rnacentral:rRNA from 1 species
UACCCGGGUGCAAUAUCAAUAAGCGGAGGAAAAGAAACCAACAGGGAUUGCCUCAGUAACGGCGAGCGAAGCGGCAAAAGCUCAAAUUUGAAAUCUGGCGUCGUGUCGGCGUCCGAGUUGUAAUUUGAAGAUGGCAACUUUGGGAAUGGCUCUCGCAUAUGUUCCUUGGAACAGGACGUCAUAGAGGGUGAGAACCCCGUUCAUGGCGAGAUGACCCAGUCCUAUGUAAAGUGCUUUCUAAGAGUCGAGUUGUUUGGGAAUGCAGCUCUAAGUGGGUGGUAAAUUCCAUCUAAGGCUAAAUAUUGGCGAGAGACCGAUAGCGAACAAGUACAGUGAUGGAAAGAUGAAAAGAACUUUGAAAAGAGAGUGAAAAAGUACGUGAAAUUGUUGAAAGGGAAGGGCUUGAAGUCAGACAUGGUAUUCAGUGAUCAACUGUCUUUCGGGACUGUGCACUCGCUGUUUACUGGGCCAGCAUCGGUUUAGGCGGUGAGAUAAAUGCAAGAGAAUGUGGCUCCAUCUUCGGGUGGAGUGUUAUAGCUCUUGUUCAUAUCACCAGCUUGGACCGAGGACCGCGCUUCGGCUAGGAUGCUGGCGUAAUGACUUUAAGCCACCCGUCUUGAACAACGGACCCA